GCUAUACNUGCAAGUCGAGCGAGCGGAACCAACAGAUUUACUUCGGUAAUGACGUUGGGAAAGCGAGCGGCGGAUGGGUGAGUAACACGUGGGGAACCUGCCCCUAAGUCUGGGAUACCAUUUGGAAACAGGUGCUAAUACCGGAUAAUAAAGCAGAUCGCAUGAUCAGCUUUUGAAAGGCGGCGUAAGCUGUCGCUAAGGGAUGGCCCCGCGGUGCAUUAGCUAGUUGGUAAGGUAACGGCUUACCAAGGCGACGAUGCAUAGCCGAGUUGAGAGACUGAUCGGCCACAUUGGGACUGAGACACGGCCCAAACUCCUACGGGAGGCAGCAGUAGGGAAUCUUCCACAAUGGACGCAAGUCUGAUGGAGCAACGCCGCGUGAGUGAAGAAGGUUUUCGGAUCGUAAAGCUCUGUUGUUGGUGAAGAAGGAUAGAGGUAGUAACUGGCCUUUAUUUGACGGUAAUCAACCAGAAAGUCACGGCUAACUAC
rnacentral:rRNA from 1 species